UUAAGUUAUUAAGGGCGCACGGUGGAUGCCUUGGCACUAGAAGCCGAUGAAGGACGUUACUAACGACGAUAUGCUUUGGGGAGCUGUAAGUAAGCUUUGAUCCAGAGAUUUCCGAAUGGGGAAACCCAGCAUGAGUUAUGUCAUGUUAUCGAUAUGUGAAUACAUAGCAUAUCAGAAGGCACACCCGGAGAACUGAAACAUCUUAGUACCCGGAGGAAGAGAAAGAAAAUUCGAUUCCCUUAGUAGCGGCGAGCGAAACGGGAAGAGCCCAAACCAACAAGCUUGCUUGUUGGGGUUGUAGGACACUCUAUACGGAGUUACAAAGGACGACAUUAGACGAAUCAUCUGGAAAGAUGAAUCAAAGAAGGUAAUAAUCCUGUAGUCGAAAAUGUUGUCUCUCUUGAGUGGAUCCUGAGUACGACGGAGCACGUGAAAUUCCGUCGGAAUCUGGGAGGACCAUCUCCUAAGGCUAAAUACUCUCUAGUGACCGAUAGUGAACCAGUACCGUGAGGGAAAGGUGAAAAGCACCCCGGAAGGGGAGUGAAAUAGAACCUGAAACCGUGUGCUUACAAGUAGUCAGAGCCCGUUAAUGGGUGAUGGCGUGCCUUUUGUAGAAUGAACCGGCGAGUUACGAUUUGAUGCAAGGUUAAGCAGUAAAUGUGGAGCCGUAGCGAAAGCGAGUCUGAAUAGGGCGUUUAGUAUUUGGUCGUAGACCCGAAACCAGGUGAUCUACCCUUGGUCAGGUUGAAGUUCAGGUAACACUGAAUGGAGGACCGAACCGACUUACGUUGAAAAGUGAGCGGAUGAACUGAGGGUAGCGGAGAAAUUCCAAUCGAACCUGGAGAUAGCUGGUUCUCUCCGAAAUAGCUUUAGGGCUAGCCUCAAGUGAUGAUUAUUGGAGGUAGAGCACUGUUUGGACGAGGGGCCCCUCUCGGGUUACCGAAUUCAGACAAACUCCGAAUGCCAAUUAAUUUAACUUGGGAGUCAGAACAUGGGUGAUAAGGUCCGUGUUCGAAAGGGAAACAGCCCAGACCACCAGCUAAGGUCCCAAAAUAUAUGUUAAGUGGAAAAGGAUGUGGCGUUGCCCAGACAACUAGGAUGUUGGCUUAGAAGCAGCCAUCAUUUAAAGAGUGCGUAAUAGCUCACUAGUCGAGUGACACUGCGCCGAAAAUGUACCGGGGCUAAACAUAUUACCGAAGCUGUGGAUUGUCCUUUGGACAAUGGUAGGAGAGCGUUCUAAGGGCGUUGAAGCAUGAUCGUAAGGACAUGUGGAGCGCUUAGAAGCGAGAAUGCCGGUGUGAGUAGCGAAAGACGGGUGAGAAUCCCGUCCACCGAUUGACUAAGGUUUCCAGAGGAAGGCUCGUCCGCUCUGGGUUAGUCGGGUCCUAAGCUGAGGCCGACAGGCGUAGGCGAUGGAUAACAGGUUGAUAUUCCUGUACCACCUAUAAUCGUUUUAAUCGAUGGGGGGACGCAGUAGGAUAGGCGAAGCGUGCGAUUGGAUUGCACGUCUAAGCAGUAAGGCUGAGUAUUAGGCAAAUCCGGUACUCGUUAAGGCUGAGCUGUGAUGGGGAGAAGACAUUGUGUCUUCGAGUCGUUGAUUUCACACUGCCGAGAAAAGCCUCUAGAUAGAAAAUAGGUGCCCGUACCGCAAACCGACACAGGUAGUCAAGAUGAGAAUUCUAAGGUGAGCGAGCGAACUCUCGUUAAGGAACUCGGCAAAAUGACCCCGUAACUUCGGGAGAAGGGGUGCUCUUUAGGGUUAACGCCCAGAAGAGCCGCAGUGAAUAGGCCCAAGCGACUGUUUAUCAAAAACACAGGUCUCUGCUAAACCGUAAGGUGAUGUAUAGGGGCUGACGCCUGCCCGGUGCUGGAAGGUUAAGAGGAGUGGUUAGCUUCUGCGAAGCUACGAAUCGAAGCCCCAGUAAACGGCGGCCGUAACUAUAACGGUCCUAAGGUAGCGAAAUUCCUUGUCGGGUAAGUUCCGACCCGCACGAAAGGCGUAACGAUUUGGGCACUGUCUCAACGAGAGACUCGGUGAAAUCAUAGUACCUGUGAAGAUGCAGGUUACCCGCGACAGGACGGAAAGACCCCGUGGAGCUUUACUGUAGCCUGAUAUUGAAAUUCGGCACAGCUUGUACAGGAUAGGUAGGAGCCUUUGAAACGUGAGCGCUAGCUUACGUGGAGGCGCUGGUGGGAUACUACCCUAGCUGUGUUGGCUUUCUAACCCGCACCACUUAUCGUGGUGGGAGACAGUGUCAGGCGGGCAGUUUGACUGGGGCGGUCGCCUCCUAAAAGGUAACGGAGGCGCUCAAAGGUUCCCUCAGAAUGGUUGGAAAUCAUUCAUAGAGUGUAAAGGCAUAAGGGAGCUUGACUGCGAGACCUACAAGUCGAGCAGGGUCGAAAGACGGACUUAGUGAUCCGGUGGUUCCGCAUGGAAGGGCCAUCGCUCAACGGAUAAAAGCUACCCCGGGGAUAACAGGCUUAUCUCCCCCAAGAGUUCACAUCGACGGGGAGGUUUGGCACCUCGAUGUCGGCUCAUCGCAUCCUGGGGCUGUAGUCGGUCCCAAGGGUUGGGCUGUUCGCCCAUUAAAGCGGUACGCGAGCUGGGUUCAGAACGUCGUGAGACAGUUCGGUCCCUAUCCGUCGUGGGCGUAGGAAAUUUGAGAGGAGCUGUCCUUAGUACGAGAGGACCGGGAUGGACAUACCUCUGGUGUACCAGUUGUCGUGCCAACGGCAUAGCUGGGUAGCUAUGUGUGGACGGGAUAAGUGCUGAAAGCAUCUAAGCAUGAAGCCCCCCUCAAGAUGAGAUUUCCCAACUUCGGUUAUAAGAUCCCUCAAAGAUGAUGAGGUUAAUAGGUUCGAGGUGGAAGCAUGGUGACAUGUGGAGCUGACGAAUACUAAUCGAUCGAAGACUUAAUCAA
rnacentral:rRNA from 1 species